AAUCCAUAGGUUAAUGAGGCGAACCGGGGGAACUGAAACAUCUAAGUACCCCGAGGAAAAGAAAUCAACCGAGAUUCCCCCAGUAGCGGCGAGCGAACGGGGAGGAGCCCAGAGCCUGAAUCAGCAUGUGUGUUAGUGGAAGCGUCUGGAAAGGCGCGCGAUACAGGGUGACAGCCCCGUACACAAAAGCGCAUGUGCUGUGAGCUCGAUGAGUAGGGCGGGACACGUGGUAUCCUGUCUGAAUAUGGGGGGACCAUCCUCCAAGGCUAAAUACUCCUGACUGACCGAUAGUGAACCAGUACCGUGAGGGAAAGGCGAAAAGAACCCCGGCGAGGGGAGUGAAAAAGAACCUGAAACCGUGUACGUACAAGCAGUGGGAGCCCCACCACUAAGCCAGUGGUGAACUCCACAUCCGCAUCCUUUGCUGAGGAUACGGUUAACGGAGCGAAAGCGACGUUCAACCGCAAAACAAGCAGAGGGGGCUUAGUGGUGGGGUGACUGCGUACCUUUUGUAUAAUGGGUCAGCGACUUAUAUUCUGUAGCAAGGUUAACCGAAUAGGGGAGCCGGAGGGAAACCGAGUCUUAAUUGGGCGUUAAGUUGCAGGGUAUAGACCCGAAACCCGGUGAUCUAGCCAUGGGCAGGUUGAAGGUUGGGUAACACUAACUGGAGGACCGAACCGACUAAUGUUGAAAAAUUAGCGGAUGACCUGUGGCUGGGGGUGAAAGGCCAAUCAAACCGGGAGAUAGCUGGUUCUCCCCGAAAGCUAUUUAGGUAGCGCCUCGUGAAUUCAUCUCCGGGGGUAGAGCACUGUUUCGGCUAGGGGGCCAUCCCGGCUUACCAACCCGAUGCAAACUGCGAAUACCGGAGAAUGUUAUCACGGGAGACACACGGCGGGUGCUAACGUCCGUCGUGAAGAGGGAAACAACCCAGACCGCCAGCUAAGGUCCCAAAGUCAUGGUUAAGUGGGAAACGAUGUGGGAAGGCCCAGACAGCCAGGAUGUUGGCUUAGAAGCAGCCAUCAUUUAAAGAAAGCGUAAUAGCUCACUGGUCGAGUCGGCCUGCGCGGAAGAUGUAACGGGGCUAAACCAU
rnacentral:rRNA from 3 species